rnacentral:rRNA from 1 species
UGCAAGUCGAACGGAACUUCGGUUCAGUGGCGAACGGCGGAGUAAUACAUGAGCAACGUCGCCCCUAUGACUGGGAUAUACAGAGGAAACUCUGGGCAAUACCGGAUGUGGCUAUUCCUUGGCAUCUUGGAAUAACUAAACGGUAUUUAUUCGCAUAGGGAGCGGCUCAUCGACCCAUCAGGUAGUUGGUAGGGUAAUGGCCUACCAAGCCGACGACGGGUAGCGGGUCUGAGAGGAUGAUCCGCCCGAGUGGGACUGAGACACGGCCCACACACCUACGGGUGGCAGCAGUUGGGAAUCUUGCACAAUGGGGGAAACCCUGAUGCAGCGACGCCGCGUGGACGAUGAAGGGUUUAGGCCUGUAAAGUCCUUUUACCAGGAAAGACUUAGGACGGUACCUGGUGAAUAAGCUCCGGCUAACUACGUG